UACGUAGGGGGCAAGCGUUGUCCGGAUUUAUUGGGCGUAAAGAGCGUGUAGGCGGCUUUACAGGUCCGUUGUGAAAACUCGAGGCUCAACCUCGAGACGCCGGUGGAAACCGUAAGGCUAGAGUCCGGAAGAGGAGAGUGGAAUUCCUGGUGUAGGCGGUGAAAUGCGCAGAUAUCAGGAGGAACACCCGUGGCGAAAGCGGCUCUCUGGGACGGUACUGACGCUGAGACGCGAAAGCGUGGGGAGCAAACAGG
rnacentral:rRNA from 1 species